rnacentral:rRNA from 1 species
UCGCCUGUUUAUCAAAAACAUAGUCCUUGGUUUUAUCAAGGAUGUCUUCUGCUCAGUGAGUUGCUUUAACAGCCGCAGUACCUUGACUGUGCAAAGGUAGCAUAAUCAGUUGGCUUUUAAUUGGAGUCUAGAAUGAACGAAGGAAUGGAGGACGUCUGUCUUAUGUGGAUUAUUAAAAGUUACCUGGGAAGUGCAAAUGCUUCUAGAGAUUAAUUAGACGAGAAGACCCUAGAAAUUUAUAUAUUUAUUUUGUUGGGGCGACAAGGUAACAUUGAAACUUACCUUAUUAUAUUUGGAAUUUAUAAAUAGAAUAAAAAAAUUACUCUAGGGAUAACAGCAUAAUUUUGGGAAAGAUUGUGACCUCGAUGUUGGACUAGGGACGGUAAUAGCUUAGAAA